rnacentral:misc_RNA from 1 species
AUAGGCAAGAACCAUGAGAAUGGUAGUGCUAGUCUUCCUGGAGGUGGUAAAAUUGCAGAUUCCCUUGCAUCAAAUGGAAAGCUAGAGGCUUUCAAGGAUCUUACCAUCUGAAUGCCAUACUGAAUGCAUGCAGCAGCUAACGCACAAUUGCAGUAUGAUUUAGUGGGUAAAUCACGUGACCAGAAAGCAGUAGAAAACUACUUAUAGAGUCGCUGAGGGGAAUCAUUUUGAGGUUAUGUGCAAGUGAUAUCAGUCCUCUGCUGUUGCUUUGAGAUCAAAAUUUUUAUUUUCAGCAGUUCUUCCGUGUCCGAUUGUUAAAUGCAUUCCUUUGCAAAUGUGUAUAUCAUAAAUUUAUUGUGUCUUUUAGGGUUUGAUUUUCUUUUAAUUCACUCACUUUUAGGUGGGAUAUUAGACAAGGGUGGUUCUAUGGGAUUUUGCCAACACUUCUGAGGUUAUUUUCAUCUUUUAGGUCGGGACCACUACAGCUUUUUUUUU